GGUAGUUAAUGUGAACACCAAAAUCAUAUUAAAUCUACAUGCAAUAUAUCGUGAUCCUUUCAUUUUAUAUAUUAAUAAUAAAAAAUAAUAUUAAGAAUAUUAUCGAUUUAUGGGUGUGAGGUGAGGGGGAAGAAGAAAUUGAAUUCCCAUGAUAUAAACCACAAAGAAGAAAAGCCAGGAAAGAAAUACUAGCUCACCCUUAUGUCAAGGCCUUCUAAC
rnacentral:misc_RNA from 1 species